rnacentral:rRNA from 1 species
GACGAACGCUGGCGGCGUGCUUAACACAUGCAAGUCGAACGGAAAGGCCCUGCUUUUGUGGGGUGCUCGAGUGGCGAACGGGUGAGUAACACGUGAGUAACCUGCCCUUGACUUUGGGAUAACUUCAGGAAACUGGGGCUAAUACCGGAUAGGAGCUCCUGCUGCAUGGUGGGGGUUGGAAAGUUUCGGCGGUUGGGGAUGGGCUCGCGGCUUAUCAGCUUGUUGGUGGGGUAGUGGCUUACCAAGGCUUUGACGGGUAGCCGGCCUGAGAGGGUGACCGGCCACAUUGGGACUGAGAUACGGCCCAGACUCCUACGGGAGGCAGCAGUGGGGAAUAUUGCACAAUGGGCGGAAGCCUGAUGCAGCAACGCCGCGUGCGGGAUGGCGGCCUUCGGGUUGUAAACCGCUUUCGCCUGUGACGAAGCGUGAGUGACGGUAAUGGGUAAAGAAGCACCGGCUAACUACGUG